AUGCAAGUUUCAUAUUCAUUAAAUUUUAAGCAAUUUACAAGGAAAUUUACAAAGUUUAAAUACAAGUUACAAGUUUCUUAUUUACAAAGAAAAGAUAAUUAUUCUUCAAAUCUUCUUGCUCCAUCUUCAAGUGUCUUGUUCUCACGCCUUGCUAUAACUUAUUCUUCAAGUCUUCAGCCUUGCCUUGCCUUCUUCACCUUCCAUCAAUGUCACAUGAAAACAAACAAGGAAUUAGUUAGAACAAUCAUCAUCCAAACAUAA